GGGGGUGUAGCUCAGUGGUAGAGCACUUAGCUAGCAUGCUGAAGCUGUCGGUUCAAUCCCCAGUACUCCUA
rnacentral:tRNA from 1 species